AGGAAGAGAAGGAGGAGGAGGAGGAGGAGGAGAAAGUGGCUCUCAGCGGCCGGUCGGAUUAAAAGUAACCAGACUCGUCCAGAAAACUGCGUCCAGGAAGGAAGUGACAGAAGACGAAUGGGAAAAGGAGAACAGCUCACAGCGUUUGAAACAUCGCGAUUAUUGCCGAUCCUCCCCUCCAACACUGCUCUCAUCACCUAUAUACUCUUCUCUCUGCCCGUCUCUGCUUCCCCCCCCUUCCCCCCCCCCUUUUCUCCCGGCCGACGGAGCUGAAGGGGCGGGGGUUCCUUCCUUGGAGUGUUUCUAGAGCUCGGAGGCUGCUGGUAGGGGGUGCUUGUAGACAUGGAAGAAGGCCUCACCUUCUCCAUGGCUGACAACCGAGAAGGCUGGUCUGACUUGGAAGAAGCUGUGUGGCCAACAGCCAAUUGGCUGUAUCACAUGGAAGUUGUACCCGUCAGCACCUGCUGAGGGCUUUGUUGUCCAAACCCUGACAGGUAAAAAAAUUCCUGCAGAAUAAAGCCAGACCAGCUGGCUUUGAAGAGAAACCCCCCAGUUUGGGCUGCGUUUGCCUCCUCUCCUUUUCUAUGAAGACCGAGGCUUUGCCCCCUUGAUCGUCAAGCCGUGAGAUGCGUGAUCUCUCUGCACAAGUGUCUGGCAGGCCGAGGUGCACCUGUUUCUGUCACUCUGGAGUAAAUUUAGCUGUAAAGGGCACCACUUUCAGAUAAAAACAUAGACCUGAAUGGCAUCAUCCAGUAUCCAAGGAAACCAUGCUUGCUUGAAGAGUGAGCAGGUGAGCAAAGAGACAAGAUUACAUGUUUAAACCAAGAAAAGAAUCUUGAAAGCUGCAAUCCCAGAGCUGGAAGAGACCUUUUUUACAGACAAUGGGAAGCACUGACACCUUUAAGAGGGAUGUGUAAUACACUCGCUAAUGUUUCCUGUUGUGUUUCUGAAAACCUGUGUCAGAAAAUAUACUGUCUCGAACUGGAAAGAUGUGAGAUUCUUAAUUUUAAAGAGCUCCAUUAAUAUUGGUUUAAUUACAUUUUUAAAAAUAUGUUUUAAAAAGAAAAUGUUUAAAAAUAUUUUUAAAAUUUUAUUCGAUAGCUUUUAAUAUUACUAAUAAUGUACUAAAAUAAGAAAAUGGGUGAGAAUGAUGGUGAAGCCAUAGCAAAGGCAGAGACAUGUCCUUUCUGCAAAAGUGACAACAGGGACAGAUUGGAAGAAUGCGAAAUGUUAUUAGACACAGGCACAGCAUAGCAGUAGAAACAUCUUAACUGAGAACUUGGAACUGAAAGAGAAAGCAACCAACUUAAAGGGCAGACAAGACACAUGGUUAUGUAACACAGCAGUGGGUAUUCACAGUGAUGACACAAGACAAAACAAUUACAUUUUCAUUCUAAAAGUAAUUUUUAAGGAGGCAAGGGCAUUUAUAAAACAUUUUAGAAACUAUUUAAUAAAAAUGGUAAAAUUAAAGUGUUUGUUUAUGUACUCAACAAAUAUUUAUUUGGAAAGUGCAUGCCUGGGGGCACAUCUCGUUAAUGAGGUGAUCCUGUGUUUAGAACUGAAGGCAGUCCUCAUCCAUUCUCUCAAAAGGUGACCUUCUUUGUUCUUCUUAUAGCCUCACCACAUUUAAUUUUCAGAGGUUUUGACAUAAAUUAAAAACAUUCUUUGGUAGAUUGUAUUGUAUGAAAACAAUCUUCAAAAGUGUAAGCAUUGAUAUCUGGAAUAUCUGGGAAAAUGUACAAUAAAGACAUCUCUUCUGGUCUUCGUGUCUGUAACCAGCUAAUGAGCUGCAACAGAGCCUGGCCUUCAUUUUCAGCAAAUUAAGUUCAUCCCUCAUAGGAAUUGUGGUCUGGCUGUGGCACCGCUCCUAGGUAUGGGUGGGAUUUGUUUCUUCUAGCAGUUGUAGGUUAGCCACAUGGGUACGUGCUGUCGCACCACACAACAAAAUUUUCUCUAUAAUAACCAGUCUAAGUAGGCUUUUACCCCACAAAAGUAGAUCCCAUUUAAUUUACUUUGUGUUUAUAGCACUCCCUCUCAAACCGCACCAUUGGCACAGACUAAUAUUUAUACAACUUUUUAUUUUAAACUAUUUACAUGACAAACUCCAAAAGGAAACCCAAGCAGCUAUUUGGCUCCCUUAAUUAAUGAAGUCGCCCAGUAUGGAUAAUUCAGGUUCUCUAAACAUGAAUAUGCCUUUGGGGGAAGACAGAAGAACAUGGAAGCCAUGUGAAAAAAACGGAUCCUAAGGUAUAAACAAAGUGCAGAUGAUUGUCGGCCAUGCUGCAGGGAUUUCUUGUUUGUCUUCUCAGUAGUGUUAGCUAAUUUUGUCUUCCAAUCCGCAAUUCCUUAUAGGACUUGGACGCUUUGAACCUCUCAGGACCCCUCAGAUUCUAGUACAUAAACUCGGAGCCAAAUUCACAGCCAGCUCUCCUUCAAACUGCCUUAUCUGUUUUUGAGUUAAUUAGAAGGGCCUUUUAACAACUUUGCAUUUGAGUCCUAAGAAAAGUCUAGUUCAUUAGGCAAUAAAGCCACUGUGCUGGCCCCUAAUCAAGGUCAGUACAUAUCAUUAUACGACUGAUCCAAAUUUGAGUUGGUUCAGUUAUUUCAUUUGUUCAUUGUCCACAAUGUUCCAGUCACAGUACCAGGUGCUCAGAGUGUGGUGUUAGAGACAAGAUUCAAAGUAAGUAAUUUUAGACCAAUGUCAUAUGCGCCAUUAUAGAAGUACGGCUGAAAAUGGAAUUUAUAUAAAUAAGCAUGUGAGUGGUUCACUAAACAGGGAUGGGCAAGAAAGACCUUACAGAAGAGAUGAAUAUCUUAGCGAAUAACUUAGCAGGAUUUCAAAGAAUGGACGAGAGUUUUGCAGGCAGAUGAGAUAGGAAGGGUGCCAGAGAGAAAGGAAAGCAUGGGCAAGGGCUCAGGAGGUGGGGAAAAAUGUGAUAUAGUUUGAGGUACUGGAGUAUGAAGUUAACAAGGGGAGAAUAUUUAGAAGGAAGGAUGGAGAAGUAGGCAGAGAGCAGAUUAUCAGGUUAAAAUAUUAGAAAUUAGUAUUGAAGUUUACUAGAAGCCAGCAGCACGUUCAAUGCAAGCAGGUGCCAUGGUCAUAUUAGUUUUAGUUUAGUAAUCAGUGUAGAAGGUGGAUGAGAGGGGGUGAGUCUGGAGGCAAUAAGCAUAGUUGGUAGUAGCAGUCUAGGUGUCACCUGACAGGGGCCUUUACUAGCCCAGUGGUGGACAUUUUUAAUGCAUUAGUCUUUCUUCUAGUCUGUGAAUUUCUUAUAACGAGGGUGUGGUCUUCCUCACACUUGUUUCUUCACACUUGUUGCCUACUAUCAUACCUGACAUGCAGUAAAUUACCAUAGCAAGACAAAAAAUCUCUUAAACGUGUACUCUUUAUUACUCUGUUGGACCAUGAUGAGAGCAACUUAUUGUAUGGCUAUUUAAAAUUAUUUAUGAAGAUAAUAUUUUUUGUGUUGGAAAUGCUACAAUAAUUUAAUUGUGAGAUUUAUAACUAAGACUUAUUGUUCACAUUUGUUUUAUGUUUUCAUAUAUGUGAUGAAAUAGACAAUUUACUCUGUAAGUCUUAAAUAUAAAAAUGAUUCAUUAUUUCUUUCUGAGGUGCACCGGUGGGCUGAAGGGCUCUUCAAGCGCCGCCAGAGUGGGCGCCAAGGCUGAGGAGGCGCUGAGAGCGAGUGAGGGCGCACGCCGUCAAUUCUCACAGCAGCAAAAAGAAAGUGUGAGCAUUGAAAAGAACAACUUUCAAGUCAAAAGAAUCAAGGUGAAGAGAAUGGAUACUCAUGCCCAUGUGAAUUUGCUGCCCCAAGUCUACUGGAGGAUCAAGCUGCAGGUUUCAAUAGCUAUAGCCUGAAGAAUCUCUGUAAUGAACUAAAACAAUCAGUAAAAGAUCAGUUGCAGUGGAAGACAUUAUACUCUAGAUUUUUCUAGUAUUAUUAAAUUUGAAAAUGAUUUAUUCCAAAUUUUAACUUAGCUUUUAAUUUUACUAGUGUCAAAAUGUUGUACUACUUUGGACAACUGAUUUUUCCAAUAGAGAGUCAAUAGCAUCUUUGCAGGGUGGUUUAAAAGCCAAUAAUUUAAUCCAUAUUCUACUAAAACUUUUAAUAUAAGCAUUUUACCCAGAUGUAUUUUUUCCUUGUUUUAGAAAAUCUGAUUUUAAUUGCUAAAACUCGUUUUUAAAUAUUAAUUCAAUGAAAGAAAUGCUAUGGUUUUCUACUUUUUCAUUUCUUAAACUCAAGGGAAAACAUGGGUGAAAAACAACUUUUUACCUGUCUGUUGAACUGAGUGAAGGACCCAGAGGCCCUAUGAUGUGGUGUAGCUUCGAGAGAAGGAAGCCUAGAUCCCUGAAUCAUUGUGCAGAACAUACUUAUCCUACAGCCAUAUAGGACUGUUAUAUGAGUAAGCGCUGAAGUUAUUUCUUAGGUUAUUGAACUUUCCAAGCAUAUCUAUUACAUUAAUUAGUGUUACCUCAAUAAAAGCAUGUACUUCACAGAACACAGUUUUGAACAUCUGGAGGCCUGAUUUAUUGGAGAUUGCAAAUGUACAGUGUAACAUAGCUGUGGAGAGGAGAAGUCAAUGGACUUUUUUGAAAGACAAUCUUAAAAAGGAAGUUGAAUACUCAGUGAUUGACUGUGCAGAUGAAAUAGAGAAAAAGGGAGAAGAUCAGGAUUGUCAAUGCUGUCAUUGCUUUUACUGGAAUCCCCAGCACGAAUUGAAGGUUUGACCAGAGACAAAGAAGCAAAUGCUAUCAAUUAACAUUCACAUGUGGUAGGUCUCACUUUGCCACCUAGGCUGGAUGCAAUGCAACGGUAUGUUGAUCUUGGUUCACUGCAGCCUCAACCUCCUGAGCUCAUGUGAUCCUCCCACCUCAGUCCCCCACGUCGCUUGGAUUACAGGCCUGUGCCACCACACCUGGCUAACUUUUUUUGUAAUUUUUGUAGAGACAGGGUCUCACUAUGUUUCCCAUGCUGGUCUUUAAUGCCUGAGCUCAAGCCAUCCGCCUGCCUCGGCCUCCCAAAUUGCUGGGAUUACAGGCAUGAGCCACCAUGCCCAGCCUAAUUCUUCUAAAUCUUAUCCUAGUAAUUAAGCCAGAAUUUUUCUCUGCCAAGACCAAUAGAUGGACCAAGAAGUACUCAUCCUUGUAAACUUUCUUUGGAUAAAUUGCUUACAUAUAAUAAAUUCAGAGUUAAGUAAUUCUACUAGUGCAUGUGGAGAGAAACAUGGCUGCUGCAUGGAGUCAUAAACCUCAGAGGAAGCUGAGAAUGAGAUGAAAUGUAUAUGUAACCCUUGUGUAUGGCAAGUUUGGCAAGAAAGAAAAAGCAUACUUGGCAGAUUAAGAUAAGGUUUCUCUCUGUUUACUGAUAUAGUCUCAGGUUUGCAUUGUGUGAUGAAUAAUAGGUUGGGGGAAGAUAUCCUUUGUUUAUUCAUUCAUUUCAUCAACAAAUAUUUAAUGAGUACCUACUAUAUGCCAUGCCACAAAGAGUAUAAACCUAGAGACAGAAUGUUGAGUCACAUAGACAGUGCUCCUGAUACAAUUAUUUGAACUGAGUUAACAAUACUUCAAGGUUCCAUGUCUAAUUUACUGGCUAGGUUCUCAACAAAAUUUCUGGAUAAUCUCACAUGAGAUGGCAAAGAGGUCAAGACAAAAAUUCUGCAUUUGGGAAAAGAAUAACACAUGGACUUCCUCCUACAGGUUCCUGUUGUCAUGUGAAGGACAUGUUUGCUUCCCCUUCCACCGUGAUUGUAAGUUUCCUAAGGCCUCCCCAGCCAUGCUGAACUGAACUGGCCAACUGCAAGCCAAGAAGUGAGUGUUCACCAGAACCUGACUAUGCUGUCACCCUGUUCCUGAACUUUCAGCAUUCAGAACUGUGUACCAUCUUAUUAUCAUCUCAUUCAAGAUCAUUAUAGGACUGUGUAUGUCCUACACACACAUUAUAUGUCCUACACGCACAGUGAUGAGGAGUGACAAAAUGAAGACUCCAGAAUCCUCUUUAUCAGAUCCUGAAUGUGGACUUUCUGAAGUGAAGUCCACUAUGUGCUGGGCACACAGAGAAUAGAGCAUGAAACAAAAGCAACAUGACCCUGCCCUCACCAAGACUACAGGGAGUGAUGGAGCAUACAACUUUGUUUCAGAAUGCAAUUCAGAUCUUCCCUUUCGCUUGGCUUCUUAAAACUUCUUUUGAGGAUGGUAAAAUUUCGUGUUAUAUUAAAUUUCAUCCUGUAACUGAUACUCUGGGAUGAUGUUGGCCAAUAACUAGCAAGACUUUAAAUAAUCAACUAGUUUAGGCAUUGCUUAGCACGCUCCAGCUGACUUCACAAGUAAAACCAUGUGAAGAAAGAAGGUUUUCAGGUAACACAGAUGGAGGUGAUGAUCUUUCUCAUUUUGUGGAAAAUAUUAAUUUCUCAUUUUUUAUUCACUGACAAUUAGUAAAAUUCCUUACUCUACCUAAUAUGUAGACUUCUGAACUAUGUAAGUAAAACUUUAUAGUAACUGUGUCAAGUACAGUUCAGGCCACCUUAUAUUUAUUCCUCAUAAUUACCCUUGCAGGAGCACAGACAGAGUACAUAACUUUCCUCAGGUCACAGAGCUAGGCAAAUCUUCAUGGAAUGCUUACCAUGUGUCUUUUUUAGAAACUGGGAUUGGAUUACAAUGGUUGAAAAAAAAAAUAGGUGAAGUUCCCCAUUCUAAUGGGGAAGGAAAGAAACAACAAAUGUGCCAACUAGGGACUAAAAAAGGUUAUAAUAGUCUCAGAGGCAACAUGGCCAGCAUAAAAGUAGAACAACAGAACAGAAUGAAACAUAAGAAAACAGAAACAAACAAGUAGAAGCUCAAAUAUCCACACAACUAAAAGUGGCGAUGAUAAUAAAAUCUGGCUCUGGUGACAUAAGCGGAAGUUGUUGUGUGGAACGUGCAGGAGGACUCCUUCAAAAGGAAUAUGGACAGGGAGUGCACACUUUUCCAGCCUUCUUGUCUCAUUCCUUCUUGCUGCCAGGAACAAUGACAUGAGAACUGGAGCGCUAACAGCCAUUCAGAUCAUGAGGCAACAUUAAGGAUGAAAACCACACACUGAGGAUGAUGGAGCAGAAAAAACGGAGAGAAGGAGAUUUUCUGACCAUCCCAUGGUGCCAGUUGACACACCUGGACUGCCUACUUCUGACUCUCUUGUAUUUGAAAUAAUACAUUUUGUUGUGUUUAAUCACUACUAUUUUGGAUUUUCUGUUGUAUGCAGCUGAAUUUAGUUCUAAUUGAUGUAGACAAGUCUGUCUGUAACUAGAUGCAUGUGGAAAAUAAAACUUUUAUGGGA
rnacentral:lncRNA from 10 species